AGUGAACGCUGGCGGCGUGCUUAACACAUGCAAGUCGAACGGAUCAAAGUAGCUUGCUAUUUUGGUUAGUGGCGCACGGGUGAGUAAUGUAUAGCUAACCUGCCCUUUAGUGGGGGACAACAGUUGGAAACGACUGCUAAUACCCCAUACUCCUUCUUGCCACAAGGUGAGUCGGGAAAAAUUUAUUGCUAAAGGAUGGGGCUUUAUUGUAUCAGCUAGUUGGUGAGGUAAUGGCUCACCAAGGCUAUGACGCAUACCUGGUCUGAGAGGAUGAUCAGGCACACUGGAACUGAGACACGGUCCAGACUCCUACGGGAGGCAGCAGUGGGGAAUAUUGCACAAUGGAGGAAACUCUGAUGCAGCAACGCCGCGUGGAGGAUGACGCAUUUCGGUGUGUAAACUCCUUUUAUAAGGGAAGAUAAUGACGGUACCUUAUGAAUAAGCACCGGCUAACUCCGUGCCAGCAGCCGCGGUAAUGUCGAUA
rnacentral:rRNA from 1 species